rnacentral:misc_RNA from 1 species
UUGAAACAAUUAAAGAAAAUCCAGCCUAUACCCAAUCCGAAACCCAUAACUCAGAAAAGGGCCAACAAUCCGAAACCACUAUCACCCAACCCCAUAUUAUAAACCUAACUAUUGCAUAAAUAAACAUGCAGAAGGCAGCCACGGAUCAAGGUAAGCGCCGCCGUCAAGUAUAUUGAGCAAAUUCGGAGACUUUUGAAGACCGAAAAAUGCAGGAGGCCAUGCAAGAUGCUAAGACCUCAAAGACAAUCCUCAAAAACAGUGAGUCGAGCCUUGAGUCUAGGAGACCAAAAGAAAGCACGAGUCAUUGGGUGCCGGAGAACCACAAACAGAAAGGGCGACACAGAGCUCUUUAGCUUUAGUGGCUGUUAAGAGUCCGCUGCUGCUCAGGUGGGAGAAAGACUCCCGAGUUAUCGUCAAUCAAUAUAAAUUAAAUCCUCCCUAAUCCCAGCACCAAGAACUGUAGUACAAAAAAGAACCCAACACCGUAUUAUCAUGAGAACGAGACACGCCAAAUCCACCUACAACACAAGGAAAGCUGGAAUG